rnacentral:rRNA from 1 species
UACGUAGGGGGCAAGCGUUAUCCGGAUUUAUUGGGUUUAAAGGGUGCGCAGGCGGCGUGUCAAGCAAGCGGUAAAAUAGCGGGGCUCAACCCCGUCGAGCCGUUUGAACUGGCGCGCUUGAGUUCAGGCGAGGUAGGCGGAAUUCGUGGUGUAGCGGUGAAAUGCAUAGAUAUCACGCAGAACUCCGAUUGCGAAGGCAGCAUACCGGCGCCCUACUGACGCUGAGGCACGAAAGCGUGGGUAUCGAACAGG